rnacentral:rRNA from 1 species
GUAGGGAAUCUUCCACAAUGGGCGCAAGCCUGAUGGAGCAACACCGCGUGAGUGAAGAAGGGUUUCGGCUCGUAAAGCUCUGUUGUUAAAGAAGAACACGUAUGAGAGUAACUGUUCAUGCGUUGACGGUAUUUAACCAGAAAGUCACGGCUAACUACGUGCCAGCAGCCGCGGUAAUACGUAGGUGGCAAGCGUUACCCGGAUUUAUUGGGCGUAAAGAGAGUGCAGGCGGUUUUCUAAGUCUGAUGUGAAAGCCUUCGGCUUAACCGGAGAAGUGCAUCGGAAACUGGAUAACUUGAGUGCAGAAGAGGGUAGUGGAACUCCAUGUGUAGCGGUGGAAUGCGUAGAUAUAUGGAAGAACACCAGUGGCGAAGGCGGCUACCUGGUCUGCAACUGACGCUGAGACUCGAAAGCAUGGGUAGCGAACAGGAUUAGAAACCCGGGUAGUCC